rnacentral:rRNA from 1 species
UGGGGAAUUUUGGACAAUGGGCGCAAGCCUGAUCCAGCCAUGCCGCGUGCGGGAAGAAGGCCUUCGGGUUGUAAACCGCUUUUGUCAGGGAAGAAAUCUUCUGAGUUAAUACCUCGGGAGGAUGACGGUACCUGAAGAAUAAGCACCGGCUAACUACGUGCCAGCAGCCGCGGUAAUACGUAGGGUGCAAGCGUUAAUCGGAAUUACUGGGCGUAAAGCGUGCGCAGGCGGUUUUGUAAGACAGAGGUGAAAUCCCCGGGCUCAACCUGGGAACUGCCUUUGUGACUGCAAGGCUUGAGUGCGGCAGAGGGGGAUGGAAUUCCGCGUGUAGCAGUGAAAUGCGUAGAUAUGCGGAGGAACACCGAUGGCGAAGGCAAUCCCCUGGGCCUGCACUGACGCUCAUGCACGAAAGCGUGGGGAGCAAACAGGAUUAGAUAGCCCUGGUAGUCCACGCCCUAAACGAUGUCAACUGGUUGUUGGGAAGGUUCCUUCUCAGUAACGUAGCUAACGCGUGAAGUUGACCGCCUGGGGAGUACGGCCGCAAGGUU